GAGCGCCCUGCGGCAGCGGGCGGCGUGGGGCUGGCGGCGCUCCAGGCGGGGGGAUGGGGGAGGACAAAGGCAGCGCAUCCUGCGGGCUGGGCACCUAUAAAUAACGCUGCCCGCCCCUCAGCCUGCCUCCCUUCCCCCAGCCGGUUUUAUAAAUACCAAAGGCUGAAAGCAGCCUAAAUGCAGAGGGUGGGGGGGAUAAAAAAAAAGAGGAACAAACACCACCUCCCAACUGUAAAAUGGGGGGUGGGGGGGGGGAAAGAAGGCAAGCUAAUGAGCAGUUGGAGCCAACGUGCCGGGGGAGCGCUCCCCGCUGCCGUCACAUGGCUCGGCGUUAUUUUCCUCCUUCUCCCCCCACCGCCGGUGCUGCGGAGCCGCGGAUGGCGGGGAGGAGCCCCGCGGCCUCCCCGGCCCUGAGCCCCGGGUCCUGCCGAGCUGCUCCCUCAAAUCAGAUAGCAAAGCCCUGCUUCGGCGGGCGGAAGGCACACAAAGCCCACCUAGAGGGGUGCUUGGGCCAGGCCAUGCAGCCCAGCGGUGGGAGGGAUGAGUUACUGGCGCUGCUGUACCUCGGUCUGCUCGAGCGAAUGCUGCGUUCCAGAUCCCUGCCCCAUGAUGCUGUGUGCAGGCUGAUAUCUGCAGAUUUCAUGCUCCCAUUGCAGAUUUGCAGAUCUCCCCUCGGGUCCAGACUCACCAACCCUAUAAACAUUGCUUCUCUGUCUCCAGUUUUUCACCGUCUGGAUCAGGGCAUCCAGAGCAGGGCGGAGCAUUCAGCAGCGAUCCCACCCGUGCCAGCAGUGCUGAGGUUUCUGUUACGCGCCCAGGGAUUACUCCCGGUGCUCAGCUGGUUUUCCUGCUCUGCUCCUCAGAUGCCAUCCAGCUUGCUCCUCCCGUGGGACUGCAUCUGUCUCUGAGCAGCCUGACGCUUGGCUUUUAAGGGCAGUCCUUAGGCAGUGCUGCUGCUUGCAAUGGCCUUUAUUUACACAUCCUGCUGUUGCUCUUCCGUGUCACCCACAGGCCUGACUGGUAAAUAUUUUAUGUUUUCUUACAGUUCAUUGACAAACACCGUUUCUGUCUCUGCUGUAGGAGUGUCCCAGUUCCAGGUGUGUGCGUGCCUCAGUUUUGUCAACACUGAGUCAGGAGAUCUGAUCUACGCCAUGUCCCACCACACCCAUCCAUGGGAGGAAGCCCGGUGCGGGAGCUGGCGGGGAGCCACAGGGCACACUGCAACGUGUGCCUGCUCCGUAUCAGAGCCAUUAAAUAGUGUGGGGCCCAGACCAGGUAGUUACAGCACCCAUAAAAGAAAGAUAACAGCUCUAAGAUGCAGCAUUGACAACUGCGCUUUGAGAUAUUCCUAUUGGAUGGAUUCUAUUCCAUGUGAUUCUGCCGUCUUGAUCUUAUAUUCUCAUAAUGAUGUAAAUGCUUCACAAGGGUUGGAGUACAGCUCUCUUCUAGAUGUUCCCUACUAGUGAUACAUUUAUCACCCAACUUCUGUUUCUCUCUCAGCAGCUGAACUCACAAAGCUGCUUCACCUGUGCAUUCACAGACAAAUCCCUGCAGACCCCUUCCAGUUCCUUCCCUGUUUGGCUGGGCAAGGAGACAGCAUUGCCCCUGGGGGGAGCUGACACUACCUGCCUAUCUGCCAGGGCACAGUGCUGCCUCUGCUGCAUGCUCUGCUCAGCUGUUCCUUUGGGAUUUCUUCCCCACUGACCAUUUUGACUGAGGUUGGAGGAGGGAGGGGAAAAAUGACAGAGAACUUUUAGGAAACCAGGCUAAAAAUAUCAAAGGACAUUUGCCUGUUCAGGGUUUUUGGGGUUGGCUUAUUUGGGGUUUUUUGGUGUUUUGUUUUGUUUUCCUGUUUUUAACCUUUUCCUAAGUAUGGCACAUCAUACAGGCAAGGAAUUUCUCUGCCAAAAUACGCAGCUCCUGACGGAUUUUACCUGUGUUCCAGCAUGCUGUGCAGAUGCAUGGGCUGCAUGCACAUGGGCUGUGUGUGCUGCAUAAUGAUGGGGAACCACCGUUCUGCUGGGUGGUUGUGCCUGAGUACAAAGAGAGAUAUCAUCAUAUGCAACAGGGGAACAAACAUUUCUUUUGUUUAAGAUCCAUACAAGUUUUGAUGGACACGUUGGGCAUUUGCCAGGGCUGGCUUUUUUCUUAUCCUUUUAAACUACAUCUGUUCAUUUUCUUUCUGGUAGUAUUAUGACAAAGCCACCUCUGUAAAAUAGGUGGCUCGUGCUUUCAGAGAUCUAAUCAUUCUUGAGCUCUUAAAGAAUAAAAAAAGCUGUUUCAAAAUCUGAA